rnacentral:tRNA from 2 species
GGAGGUGAAUGUCGCCUGGUGGCGGCUGCGGACUUCAAAUCCGUCAAAGGGUGGAAACGUCCUUGGUGAGUUCGAUUCUCACACGCCUCCGCCA